CGUCAGGUGGCUGUCACCGCACCACUGGUCACGGAUAAUUUAAAAACCGUAACUUUUUGAGACUUUUCCCUUCUCUGUUAUUCUCAAGAAACCUGUCAUUUAAGAUGGUUCGGAUUCAUUUCAAUCUUCAGCUUCCUACCACGGAAUCAUAGUUGCCAGCAUCCCCCUCCAACACACUCCUUCCUUUUCCUCCAAGAUGGCCGAUGACACGGUAUUCCUACCAAACGAUAACCAAGCCUCGAUGCUGUCCCCAUUUGAGCCAACCCCCGACAACAACGGCCCCGAAAAGAGCAUGGGCCAGAACGGGAUCGGGGAUGGCGGACCCGACCCAAUCCCAAUGGGGGAUGUGGCCUCAAAUGGACAAUACACGCCGGACGAUAACGGAAUAGUGAAUUCCGGGGUGGACAUUAAUGGGAUGGUUGUAGACUCACAGGGAGAGCCGGACGCGGCACCUUGCGAAGCUUUCAAACCCGAAUCCCUGCCUAAGGAACCCCAGGGAAUCACCAACCGAGUCCCCUCCCCCUCCCAGAUCCCACCGCCCUCUCCACAGGGGAAGACCUCCCCUCAGCAGUCCCAAUCUCCGCGUAGGGGAACGCCCACAAAGAUACCCUCGCUGAAGCAGCGACCGAGGUCCGUCGGUUCCUAUGAGGAGACGGUGAAGCAGCGGUCGCCAAAGAGCACCAUCUCCCCGCGACCUAACUCCUGCGUGAUCAAAUCAAGCACUGGAAGAGCUGACAGCAGUAAGGACAACUACACGGCAGGUGGUGGUGGAAACGUGAAAAUCGUUGACAAUAAGCUCGACAUGUCUGGAGUCAAGCCACGUACCAUCAGCCACUCAAAUCACAAGCCAGGAGGUGGCAAUGUCAAGAUCUUUGACCAGAAAAUGGACUACUCUCACGUCAAAGCAAGAAGUGAUAUCGGCAGUGGAAAGACCAGCCCCAGGAGAUCCACUUCUUCGGAGCCCACAUCUCCUCGUAUCAAGACAGCGCCCAACCCACUCCCCAACACUAAGAAUGUUCAGUCCAAGAUUGGCUCCAAAGAUAACCUCAAGCACACCCCAGGAGGAGGCAAGGUGAAGAUACAGUCAGAAAAGGUUGAUUUCAGCACAGUACAGUCGAGAUGCGGUUCCCUGAAUAAUUCCAAGCACAAACCCGGGGGUGGAAAUGUCAAGAAGCAAGCUGAUAGUGACAGGAGCAAGAACUCUACAUUCGUUAUUUGCAUAACAAUGGUCAAACAGGACCCUGAUAACAAGUCCCCUGCCCUAACCCCACCCCUCCUGGACAUGGAUGGACGCAGAGCCAAAAGUGCAGGGCCUGGGCCCCAAAAGCUCAAACGCCCUCGUCAGAAGAUUCUGGACCAGAAGGUGGACUUUUCACCUCCAAAGUCCAGAGCAAAGUGGGAUCCUUGGAGAAAGCUAGUCACACCCCUGCUGGGGGUCAAGUCAAGCUCGUCUCUGAGAAGCUGGAUUUUGAAAAGCGAGCCAAGAGCAAAGUGGGUUCCUUUGACAACGUCCGCCACAGCCCAGGGGGAGGAACUGUCAAGAUUGAGACAAAAAAGUUAGACUUCAGUAAAACCGCCUCCAAAGUUGGCUCCAAAGACAACAUCAAGCACCAACCACAGGGUGGAAAUAAAAAGAUCAUCAACGAGAAAGUGGAAUUCAAAGCAGAGUCCAAGAUUGGAUCCAAGGACAACAUCAAGCACCAGGCUGGCGGCGGUAAUGUCA
rnacentral:misc_RNA from 1 species